GAAUAUUGGACAAUGGGCGCAAGCCUGAUCCAGCCAUACCGCGUGGGUGAAGAAGGCCUUCGGGUUGUAAAGCCCUUUUGUUGGGAAAGAAAAGCAGUCGGCUAAUACCCGGUUGUUCUUACGGUACCCAAAGCAAACGCACCGACUAACUUCGUGCAAGCAGCCGGUGUAAUACGCUGGGUGCAAGCGUUACUCGGAAUUACUGGGCGUAAAGCGUGCGUAGGUGGUUGUUUAAGUCUGUUGUGAAAGCCCUGGGCUCAACCUGGGAAUUGCAGUGGAUACUGGGCGACUAGAGUGUGGUAGAGGGUAGUGGAAUUCCCGGUGUAGCAGUGAAAUGCGUAGAGAUCGGGAGGAACAUCCAUGGCGAAGGCAGCUACCUGGACCAACACUGACACUGAGGCACGAAAGCGUGGGGAGCAAACAG
rnacentral:rRNA from 1 species